rnacentral:rRNA from 1 species
GACGAACGCUGGCGGCGUGCCUAAUACAUGCAAGUAGAACGCUGAAGGAGGAGCUUGCUCUUCUGGAUGAGUUGCGAACGGGUGAGUAACGCGUAGGUAACCUGCCUGGUAGCGGGGGAUAACUAUUGGAAACGAUAGCUAAUACCGCAUAAGAGUAGAUGUUGCAUGACAUUUACUUAAAAGGUGCAAUUGCAUCACUACCAGAUGGACCUGCGUUGUAUUAGCUAGUUGGUGGGGUAACGGCUUACCAAGGCGACGAUACAUAGCCGACCUGAGAGGGUGAUCGGCCACACUGGGACUGAGACACGGCCCAGACUCCUACGGGAGGCAGCAGUAGGGAAUCUUCGGCAAUGGACGGAAGUCUGACCGAGCAACGCCGCGUGAGUGAAGAAGGUUUUCGGAUCGUAAAGCUCUGUUGUAAGAGAAGAACGAGUGUGAGAGUGGAAAGUUCACAAUGUGACGGUAUCUUACCAGAAAGGGACGGCUAACUACGUG